AUCCUCUCUUUGUUUCUGUGAUUUUCUGUCCUGCCGUUUUCCGCUGAAAGCACAGAACCCAUCUUUCCCUUCUCGUCGUUCUGCCUUCUACUUUUUAAUUUCCUUUCCACCCACCCCCCCUUCUUUUCUACCCUCUCUUUUUAUUUUCUCUCUCCCUCCCUUUUUCCUGUAAACACUCUUUGUCUUCACCCCUCCUCCAUCCCCUCAUGCCAGGGGGUCCGGGGUUGGUGUAUUUGUGCAGUGAUGUUGGAGGCCUUGAUGAUCACUCUCUAGGAGAUGAUUAUGUGGUCAGGGCCCUGCAGCCUCCUCUCCUGCCCCGCACGGCUGGAGCUCUGCACUGAUUCGGUGUGUCCCGGUGUGUGUGCACAUGGAAACGUACACUUUAUGGUGGUAAGAUAAUUUUCCCCUGUGUGUGUGUGUGUG